CAGUAGCCGCGGGAAUACGAAGGGUGCAUGCGUUACUCGGAAUUACUGGGCGUAAAGCGUGCGUAGGUGGUGGUUUAAGUCCGUUGUGAAAGCCCUGGGCUCAACCUGGGAAUUGCAGUGGAUACUGGGUCACUAGAGUGUGGUAGAGGAUAGUGGAAUUUCCGGUGUAGCAGUGAAAUGCGUAGAGAUCGGAAGGAACAUCUGUGGCGAAGGCGACUAUCUGGGCCAACACUGACACUGAGGCACGAAAGCGUGGGGAGCAAACAGGAUUAGAUACCCCCGUAGUCCCUGUCUCUUAUAC
rnacentral:rRNA from 1 species